GCCGGGAUGUCUAUCGGUAAAGGCGUCGCCCCGGACAGGCGAAGGUUGCGGGUUCAAUCCCCGCUCCUGGCC
rnacentral:tRNA from 1 species